rnacentral:misc_RNA from 1 species
CGUCACCUCACCAGGUAUGCA